UCCUUCACAAUGAGUAAACCAGUCCUGUCAGCCUUUUUUCACUUCUCCCUCUGUGGAGCUGCUGCUUGCAUCACACAGAGGGAGAGACUUUAGAAGGCUGCCAUAAUCUUCAGGACGGAGUUCCAGCAGUCCACCUGCAAACUGGGUUUCCUCUUUAUAAAGGAGUCCAGAACAUUCAGAGAAAGAAGAAUCCAAUUUUCCAAGCGAGGGUACCUGUGGACUACCUGACACCUGAGGCUAAGAAAAGACAAAAAAAACAGAUCAAUGCUGCUGACAGGGCUGCCGCCUUCCACAGCUCCAGUGCUAGGAAGAGGAAAGAGGCUGCAAAGCUUCUGAGUCGCUUCCUCUCGGAGGGAACUAUUUGGCCAAGCAGGGUCCUCUGUUCAGCCCACACCUAUUCACAGAACUGGAGUUCCACAGAGAGGGCAAAUGGGAUGGUAAGUGCUUUUCAAGUUCAAAGCAUUUUACUUCUAAUACAAUACUAUGUUUUUAAACUCCUAGCAAUUUAAAAAUUCUGACCGAAUGAUAUUCUAUAGCUGUGUAUUGCCUUCCAAUGGUUCCCAACCUUCCUAAUGCUUUGACCCUUUAAUAUUUAUAGUUCCUCAUGUUGUGGUAACUCCUAACCAU